rnacentral:rRNA from 1 species
UACGUAGGGUGCAAGCGUUAAUCGGAAUUACUGGGCGUAAAGCGUGCGCAGGCGGUUGUGCAAGACAGAUGUGAAAUCCCCGGGCUCAACCUGGGAAUUGCAUUUGUGACUGCACGGCUAGAGUGUGUCAGAGGGGGGGUAGAAUUCCACGUGUAGCAGUGAAAUGCGUAGAGAUGUGGAGGAAUACCGAUGGCGAAGGCAGCCCCCUGGGUCAAGACUGACGCUCAUGCACGAAAGCGUGGGGGAGCAAACAGG